AAUUCCCCCACUCGUCCACAAAUUUCAUCUUAAUAUCUGGCUUAAAAAUCAUUAAAAGUAUUUUCAGAAUGCGAUUUAAUAUAAAAAAACAUGAGAAAAGUUAAUGAAGGGAACCAAUUUAAUCUUUAAUUACCAAAAAAUAAUCAAAAAGCUUUAUUGAACUAGAAAUGAGACAAUCUAAUGUGAUUCAAUGUUUUUUAGCUGAUUAAAUGAAUUCUCAUUCCUGUUAAGAAUAUAUGAUAUUUAUCAAUCGAAAAUUUUGUCCUUUAAAGAUCAAUAAUGCAAAAUUUUAUUUUGAAAAUCAACAAAAUUAAAUAAAAUAUCUUGCAAUUGAUUAAAAUUAUCAACUUUUUAAAUGUUAGCAAAAAGUUAAAGUACUUGAGCAUGCUCAAUAUGAUGGGUGCCUUUGGAUUUCUUGAAUCCGUUGCCUUGGUUAUCAAAGAUGCUAAAUGCUCUUCUUUGAUUGGUUAGGUGCCUUUGCAUUUCUAGACUCCUGUCAACUUUUUUUGCAGCUUCAUUAUUGGCCAUGGACAAGUAAUGCCAUCUAGCGAGGAAAAAAAUAAUUUUUGGCGGUUUUUGGUCUUUUGGUUAUUUUUUGGUUUUUUUCACUUGUUUACAUUUUUUCCUUAUGGAUUUGGUAAUUAAGUUAUUUGUUUGCUCUCAAGCUAUCAAUUGCUAAUUUGAUAAUUUUAUUUACAAUUAAGUACAAGCAUACAUAUAUAUUAAUCAUGUUAUUAUCGUUGUCAAUUUGUGAGAAAAAGUUAAAUAAAUAGCAAUGAAUAUCAAAGAUUAACCAUUACCGUAAAGGUAGUCAUAAGGAAAAUAACUGUGUUUAUUUUUGCUUUAAAAGAUAUUUUUUUAUAACAAUUUAGCAAAUAUUCAGCUCUAACAGACUAAUAAAGUGUCGGUAUUAAAGUUCAUCAUCUGUCUGGGUUCUGUUAUUUACUCGUUGAUCUUUUAAGCUUGCUGCUGGUGAACCAAAAAAAAGUGAAAUAUGCAUCUUGAUGUAAUAUAAUUUAUAAUUUAUUUUUAAAUGUGGGACGGUUGAAGAUGAGGCCAACUCCGGUAAGGUUGAGGAUACAGUUGACGAAGGUGAUGAUUGAGAUGAGAAGUUUAACCUUAAUCGGGCGAUCAAAGUUCUUAUUUCAUCAGUGAUUCGGCUCAUACGGACCCGU